rnacentral:rRNA from 1 species
GACGAACGCUGGCGGCGUGCUUAACACAUGCAAGUCGAACGGAAAGGCCUGCUUUCCCUUGUGGAUUGCGGGUACUCGAGUGGCGAACGGGUGAGUAACACGUGAGUGAUCUGCCCCCAACUUGGGUAUAAGCCUGGGAACCUGGGUCUAAUUCCCGAUAGGACUGCAGGGUGGUGUCUGUGGUGGAAAACGUUCUUCUAGUGGUUGGGGAUGAGCUCGCGGCCUAUCAGCUUGUUGGUGGGGUAAUGGCCUACCAAGGCGGCGACGGGUAGCCGGCCUGAGAGGGUGGACGGCCACAUUGGGACUGAGAUACGGCCCAGACUCCUACGGGAGGCAGCAGUGGGGAAUAUUGCACAAGGGGCGGAAGCCUGAUGCAGCGACGCCGCGUGGGGGAUGACGGCCUUCGGGUUGUAAACUCCUUUCGACCGCGAGGAAGCCACCUGGUUGGAAGGGUGGUGACGGUAGUGGUAGAAGAAGCACCGGCUAACUACGU